CGCGGUAUAGUGACCGUGCGAAGGUAGCAUAAUCAUUAGUCUUUUAAUUGAAGGCUCGUAUGAAUGGUUGGACGAAAAGUGAUCUGUCUCUGUUGAAAUAAUUGAAUUUAACUUUUGAGUGAGAAGGCUUAAAUGAUCUAGAGGGACGAUAAGACCCUAUAAAGUUUAACAUUAUAACAACAAGAAGUUAAUUGGGAUUGCAAAGAUUUAUUAUUGUGAAUAGUGUUUUGUUGGGGCGACAAGAAUAUAAAUAAUUUAACUGUUCUUUUUUGUAUCAAAGAUAUUUGAGUUAAUGAUCUUUUUAAGAGUAUUAGAGUAAAUUACUUUAGGGAUAACAGCGUAAUUUUUUUUGAGAGUUCUUAUCGACAAAAGAGUUUGCGACCUCGAUGUUGAAUUAAAGAUUCUUUAUAAUGUAGAAGUUAUAAAAG
rnacentral:rRNA from 1 species